AUGUUCCAUGGUGUUGCGCCUGUCGUGCCGGAACGAAAGAGAGGCAUCAUUGUCAAGAUAGAAUGCCCUGUCCAGUGUAAGCUAAACGCAGAUGGAGCAUGGUAGGUGGUCACCGAAUAUUUUCAGGAACACAACCAUGAACUCAUAAAGAAGUUUGAUCUCGUAAAAUUUCUAAGCGCCCACAGAGGAUUCACCCCCCUCGAGAAGAAAUUCAUAAAGCUGCUACAUGAUUGUAACAUUGGUCCAUCAAGAAUGGUCCAGAAACUGUCCUUGAUCCACAGCGAAGAUGGUAGACUAAGUAGCAUGCCCUAUAUACUGGCAGACGUCACAAAACUAAAGGCAAAGUACCGUAGAGAGAGCAGGUUGGCUGACAUAGAAGACACGAUAGCCUACUUCAAAGAGAAAGCAAAAGCAGAUGCUGAUUUCUUCUGCAGGAUCAGAUUGGACGACGAGGACCGUGUCAGAAACAUGUAUUGGGUGGAUGGUGCUGCAAGAAGAGCCUAUAAACAUUUCCGUGAUUGCAUUUCGUUCGACGCGACAUAUCUCACAAAUAUGUACAAGAUGCCCUGCGCUCCAUUCAUAAGAAUAAAUAACCACAAUACAGAUGGUUACACUUGACUGUUCAAAACCUUCUUGGAGUCCAUGGGUGGACUUGCUCCGAUGAAUAUAAUAACAUACCAGGAUUUUAGCAUGCGUGCAGGCAUAGAGGAGGUCUUUCCGUUGGCAGUGCAUAGGCACUGCAGGUGGCAUAUUAUUAAGAAGGCUGAGGAGACGCUAGGAUCAUUCUUUGCUAAUACACAAUGCAGCGAGGGGUUCAAUGCUGUUUUGAAGCGCUACGACGGGAUUGUGUGUUGUCACAUACUGAAAGUAAUGGACAUGGUCGCGGUAACGCGAUUGCCCCGCCAUUUCAUACGAUGGCGAUUGACUUGGGACGCUGAUGAUGCGUUGGGUCCAUAA
rnacentral:rRNA from 1 species